AUGAAAGCAAUUAUGGAACUACUGAGAGUUUGUACUAUGUACCCGUUGCUGGUCUUUUUGCUUGCCAUCCUUCUAUUAUCGACUGGGGUGCAUUCCAUCAGACAUGAUACAAGUUUUAGUGAGGGCACUUGUCGAUAUGACAUGAUCAGUCUUGCAGUCCUCUCAUGCAUGCAACCGGACAAGUCAUGGAAGUCACCCUCAGUCUCAUGCUGCAAAGCACUGAUACAUGCAAUCGAUGAGUUGCCGGCUAGCGGUGAGGAUGGAAAGUGUUGUUUAUGCCGUUUCAUGAGGGCAAAGCUUUAUUAUCCUGAAUUGGCAGCAACAUAUAUCUCUUGCCAUGGAAAGGACAGAGCUGUUGUUGCAAAAUGGUCGUUUCCUGUCAUGGUAUGCGGCAAAGCUUGUUCACGAAAAGAGAUUGCCCCUCCUCGUAAGGAGACCGUCAUGGAGAGGCCUCCGUCAAAUUCACAUGGCAGCAAGAUCCUUUUUAUCUUGUUUGCAGCUCUCUUCAUCAUUCUGUUGAUCUUCAUCUUGUACCUCUGGUGGGUCAGGCGGGCUGCCCCAAGGCGACGCGAAUCUCUACCGUUAAUGCAGAUUCAAAAGCAGGCCAGAUCAUCUCCCGGGAGUGGCCGCCGACAAUCCUCUGGGCGGUUGAAGGAGCGUCGGCCAUCUGGAUAG
rnacentral:rRNA from 1 species